AUAUCCUUCCCCUUUUGCUCCUGAUUUGACUUCCUCCUUAAUUGCAGAAUGCAGAAUUCUUUUAAAGGGGAGUUUGAAUAUGUGAACACAACAGUAUGAAAUGCUGCAGCUGGAACAGCCCAUUAAUACUGGUGAGAAAAUGUUCCUGGGCAGGACUAUUCCCCAUCAUCUAGGGAGCCACUUUUUUGACUUUGCAUUUGAUCAACUAGGCUUUGAAUUCUUAAGAAUUAGGCAUCAUCUGUGGCCAUAAAUGAAUAGAAGAUAUCAGUGCCUGGAUACUCUUGGGCAGAGGGUAAAGAUGAGGUUGUCUUGUGUUGUAGGAUCUGAUGGUAUGAAUGGCCGCCAAGAUCAAUACCAGGAGAACUGCUGCCAUCCACAUCCACAGACGCAGGUUUGAAUCAAUGGGAACUUCGGAAAUCAUUGCAGCUCCCCUACAGCAUUAACACAAGAGAACCAUAUGGAGGGAUAGAUUUUUGAGAGCGGCUUUGGCAGGAAGCAAGAAUUUAAGAGCUCCACAAUAUAGAGGAAUCUACUCAGAAGUGUACAUAGUCGAUGCAAGAGUCAGACAAUUGGUAGGUAUCUUUUUUAGAAACUAGCAGAAUUCAAUUUAAUGUGAUAGGUGAUUUGGGAUAUAGGAAGAUAGCAGAAUGAACUCACAGUGGCUUGUGCCUCAUUUCACCUAAUAAUUUCAGGAUAAACCUUUCAUCAACGUUUUAUCAAAAGGAAUUUCUGCACCUGCUAUUUUCUCUCUGCAGACCACUAACAUCAUUGGUGUGACAGACUUCUGAUCACGAGGUGGUCCAAGGAGGAAAGAAAGAAAUUAACAGACAAAAUUCAGAUGAGAACCAGUCUUUUCCUCCUGGAGUCCAGAGAGUUACACAGGUACCCGUGGUUGAAUGCGGCCAGAAGCCGAAGCCGAAGCCAAAGAAUGCGGCCAGGAUCAUCCGAAGCAGGUGAUCCUCCUUCGGAUGCAUCAUUGAGUCAACAGCAGCCUAACCGUACAUCGCAUGCCUGUGUCACUCACCUCACUUCUUAUCACGGGGACAUUCGUCACCCACACCAUCACCACAAGAAGAAGGGUGAGCUCAGUACAAGAAGAUAUUUUGAGAGAGGGAGACUGAGAGCACAUUCCCGUUACUUUUAUUAUAAUAUAUUGUUAUAAGUAUUCUAUUCUUUAUUAGUUACUGCUGCUAACCUCUCCCUGUGCCUAAUGUAUAAGCGUCACUUUGUCACAGGUGGGUAUGCAUAGGUACAAAUAAAGCAUAUGUUUGGUACUAUGUGUGAUUCGGGCACCUGCUGGGAGUCUUGGAAUGGUCCCUGCAGGUGAAGGGGCCUCAUGCUAAUGGUGAAGUCUCUUCUAAAGAGAAAUCUCAGACUAUUAGAUCAAUAUUUUAUUCUAAUGCUGAUCAACCGUCUCUAUAAAUGUCAUCUCUCCCCCACCUUCCAAAUAAAACAAGAUAAUGUUUUCCUACAAAAGAAUUGAGAAUAGGCCUGCCUAUUUUUGCUCCAGGGUAAUGGAAUAUAUUUAUUGAUGCAGAAUAAAUGACAUGAGUCAGAGUUCACUGUGGAGACUCCCAUAGCUCUUACUAAUCUUAUAAAGAUGAAGUGUGCUGGGCGUCUCAAUAAAUGAGAGCCAUCCAGUUCUUAAGAGCAUAUUCAAUUCAUAAUUUUAACCCACCAUCCCUGCAUUUUUCAGGGUCAAUAGCAAAGUGUGAUAUCCACCACUCUAUUUGGUCUUUAGCAAUCUCAUUUUUGUGGAUCUGAAUCUCAUCAGGGAAAAUGAACUCACGGAUAAAUCUGCAUAAUUACACAUACUGUCUGCUUGCAGCAAAAUAUCUAGCUGCUCCAAUUUCUCCUUCAUCCAUUGUUAUAGGGUCCAGGAAAAACACAAUGCAAAUUCCAUAGACAAGAGAAUGCUCGCCUCUAGAGUUCCAGAGAGAAUGUGGCUCGUGACAUUCAAGAUUUGAUUUGAGACUUCUUUCCCUCAUGUACAUUCUGAGCAAAUAAUACAGCAAUGUUAUUCCCGGGAACAAAUGCAAAUUCAUCACUGUUCAUGGCAAGAUACAGAGCACUGCAUAAAUGGCACAAGUUUGUCCAAUAGUUUUUACUUAAAUAUUAUGGGACUGAUGCCUACAAACAAUUUUUGAAAGCUUUUUUUAUUGAGCAAUAACAGAACUUCAGAAAGUAUAUGUACUUUCAGAAGUGCAGAGCUUGAUGAAUUAUUACAAAGCAAACACACAUAUGCAGCCUCCACCAGGGUCAAUAAAUAAAACAUCAGGGAUGUCCCCAGGACCCAGAUCUCUUGUGGUUUGCCUUUCUGAUCACCUACCCAUCCAUCUUAGCUUCUCCAGGUCCCAUGUCCUAACACCACAGGGCAGAUAGAAUUGUCACAGUAAGUAUAUUUGGUUGCCCUGCUGCUUUCAUUCUGAACUCACUUGGUUGGAGAGAGUCACCUAUCUUUGGUGUUUAUCAGCCAUGCAUUCAUUCCUGUUUUAUACUCAAUACACUUUGUCUUUGGCAUAUUUGGUACAAAUAUACCAAAGCUUAUUUUUGCCCAUUGUACUGAGCAUGUAGGUUGUAUCUGAUUUGGGGCUGUCUUGAUAAUGCUGCUAGUAAUACUUUUGUCCAUGCAUUUUGGUGCACUUGUAUAAUUCCUGGAUCGGAGGGUGUAAAUGUGUUCCAUUUUAGUAGAUAAUGACCAAUACUUUUCCACAGAGGUUAGACAGGUUUUCAUUCCCAUCAGAAGUGUGUGAGAAUUCCAGUAAGUCGAAAUCCUCACUGAUACUAGACAUUUGUCAGGCUUUUAAAUUUAUUAGCCAUCUGUAUGUAAGUUAUCUCGUUGUGGUUUUAAUUUGUACUUCUCUGGUGAAGGAGGUUGGAAAUAUUUUGAUAUAGUUAUUGGUUGUGGGUAUCAACCACCACUACACACUCCCUGAUAUUUAAAGGUGUCUUUUCAAGAAUCUUGCCAUUUUUCUAAUAGGUAUGAAUGUCAUUAGCUUAUUGAUUUGCAGAAUUCUUGUAUGUCCUGGAUACAAGCCUUUUGUUGGUUUUAUAUGUGCUAAUAUUUUCUCUCAUUCUAUGGUUUGUCUUUCUGUGUUCUUGAUAUAGUCUUUUGAUGAACAGAAAUUCCCAGUUUUAAUGUAGUCAAAUGAAUGAAUGUUUGAUUUUGUGUCUGUUGCUUUUGUGUUUGGUUUAAGAGAUCUUUGUUUACACAAACAGUAUGCUUUCUUAUAGGAAUCCCGUGACUUACCUUUGCAUAUAGCUCACCAAUUCACAUGAAACUGAUUUUUGUGUAUGGUGUGAGAUAAUAGUCAUCAUCAUUAUUUUUUUUCCUGGGUAAUAUCUGAUGAACCCAGCACCAAUUCAUUAAAAAGGGACCCUUUCCCCAACACAUUGCAGGGCCACCUGUGACAUAAGUCAGGUGUCCAUACAGCCAUGUCUUGGGGAGUUCUAUUCUGUUCCUUUGGUUGAUUUUUUUUCUAUCUCUGCUCCAACAGGAUAUUGAUAAAAUAACAAGGCAUUUUAUUCUAUCUGAUAGAGUAAUUUCUUUAAAUCCACCUGUUUUCUUAAAGAUUCUCUUGAAUAUUCCUGGCCGUUUACGUUUUCAACAUCAAUUUUAGAAUCUGCUGGUCAAAUAUCUUUUGAGAGUUUUAUCAGAGUUACACUGAAACUAUACUAACACCUUUGUAACAUUAAAACUUCAAUUCAUGGAGGUGCCUGGCUGGCUCAUCAGUGGAACAUGUGACUCUUGAUCUCAGGGGCAUGAGUUUGAGCACUACGUUGGGUAUAAAGAUUAUUUAAAAAUAAAAUAAAAAAAAAAGACUUCAGUUCAUGAACUAUGGUAUUUCCCAUUUUGCAUAUCUUUAAUUUACCCAAAUGCUGCUUUGUCCUUUAUACUGUUGAAGUUGAAUAUCUUUCACUAGAUUUAGCCUUCAUUAUUGUAUCUUUGGUUUCAUUUUUUUUUUAAGAUUUAUUUAUUUAUUUAUUUAUUUAUUUGAGACACACAGAGAGACAGAGACACAGGCAGAGGGAGGAGCAGGCUCCAUGCAGGGAGUCCAAAGUGGGACUCAAUCCAGGGUCUCCAGGAUCACGCCCUGGGCUGAAGGCGGCGCUAAACCACUGAAACACCCGGGGCUGCCCUUUUGGUUUUAAAAUUUUUUUUUUUCAAUUUUUAUUUAUUUAUUUAUGAUAGUCACAGAGAGAGAGAGAGAGGCAGAGACACAGGCCGAGGGAGAAGCAGGCUCCAUGCACCGGGAGCCUGACGUGGGAUUCGAUCCCGGGUCUCCAGGAUCGCGCCCUGGGCCAAAGGCAGGCGCCAAACCGCUGCGCCACCCAGGGAUCCCUUGUUUGGUUUUAAAUGGCAACAUUAUUUAAUUUCAUUUUCUCAGUCUGUUACUGUGAUACAAACACAUAAUUGAUUUUUUAUAUUGAUCUCUAUGCAAGUAACCUUACUACAUUUACUUAUUAAUUUAAAAAAUUAUCUGUAUAUUCUUUUAGGUUUUCUGCAUAUAUAAUCAUGCCAUCUACAGACAAUGACAGCUUUCCUUCCUAAUCCUCAAUUAUUUCAUUUCUUUCCAUUUACUUAUCAGAGUGGCUAGGAAUUCCACACAAUGUUUAAUAGACGUGGUGAUAUGGAAGAUCUUUGUCUCACCUCUAGACUUAGAUAGCUUUCAAUAUUUUGCCAUUAGAUAUGAUAUUUGCUGUACGUUAUGUUUUGUGGAUAUUCUAUCAGAGGUCAACAUGUUUUCCUUCUAUUAAUGGUUUUACAUGUUUACUUUUAACAUUAUAGACAAUAGAAUUUUGUCAGAUGCUUUUUCUGCAUUUACUAAGAUAAUUACAGUGUCUUUGUGCUCAUGACUUUGUAUCUUUUUUCCAUUUAAUAUUUCAGAAUACAUUUUAUACAUAUUAUAAACUAUCCAUAAACAUUUUAUUUUUACAUACAUCUUUACAUUGAAAUAUUUUUAUGAAAAUAUGAUAUCUUCCUUUUUCUCAUCAUUCCAG
rnacentral:lncRNA from 1 species